rnacentral:rRNA from 1 species
AGAGUUUGAUCAUGGCUCAGGACGAACGCUGGCGGCGUGCUUAACACAUGCAAGUCGAACGGAAAGGCCCUUCGGGGUACUCGAGUGGCGAACGGGUGAGUAACACGUGGGUGAUCUGCCCUGCACUUUGGGAUAAGCCUGGGAAACUGGGUCUAAUACCGAAUAGGACCACGCGCUUCAUGGGGUGUGGUGGAAAGCUUUUGCGGUGUGGGAUGGGCCCGCGGCCUAUCAGCUUGUUGGUGGGGUAAUGGCCUACCAAGGCGACGACGGGUAGCCGGCCUGAGAGGGUGACCGGCCACACUGGGACUGAGAUACGGCCCAGACUCCUACGGGAGGCAGCAGUGGGGAAUAUUGCACAAUGGGCGCAAGCCUGAUGCAGCGACGCCGCGUGAGGGAUGACGGCCUUCGGGUUGUAAACCUCUUUCACCAGGGACGAAGCGCAAGUGACGGUACCUGGAGAAGAAGCACCGGCCAACUACGUGCCAGCAGCCGCGGUAAUACGUAGGGUGCGAGCGUUGUCCGGAAUUACUGGGCGUAAAGAGCUCGUAGGUGGUUUGUCGCGUUGUUCGUGAAAACUCACAGCUUAACUGUGGGCGUGCGGGCGAUACGGGCAGACUAGAGUACUGCAGGGGAGACUGGAAUUCCUGGUGUAGCGGUGGAAUGCGCAGAUAUCAGGAGGAACACCGGUGGCGAAGGCGGGUCUCUGGGCAGUAACUGACGCUGAGGAGCGAAAGCGUGGGGAGCGAACAGGAUUAGAUACCCCGGUAGUCCAA